rnacentral:misc_RNA from 1 species
GAGAGAGAGAGAGAGAGAGGUAGUCCAAAACUCAAUCUGUUUUCUAGUCUUGUAUUUUUACAAAAAAGAUUAUGGCAUAAUUUUUUAGUCAGCUGAGAUUGCCAUCUAAAGGUCUAACAAGAUGUUAGAUGAUAGUACAAAACUAGUGCAUUGUUUUGUCACUACAAGAAAAUGAGUACGAACCAAAGUCUCCAUAAGCCAUUUUGACCUGCACUCUUUAUCAUCCAUCUCUCUGUGUCUCUCAUUUCUACUAUUCUCACAUAAAUUGAUUGUGCAUAGCAUGUAUCAUGGAUUAGAAGAUUUACCUCCCAGCGACAGCAUUUCUGGAAUUCCACUAGCAAAUACAUGGAAAGUGCAACACUAACUGUGUAUCCAGGCCACAAUCUUCCACGUGUUGUGUCAUGAGCCAAGUUGAGAGCCUGUAUAAAUCCUUCAGCCAGCAUAAACAGAGAUUUAUCAUGAAUUGAUCUUCUAGCAAAAAAUUGACUAGAUGGAGAGUGGAUAAAUGUAGAGGUCUCAAGCGUGCACAUAUACACAGUACUGCUUGAGAGUAAAUUAAAUUUUGGUGUCACAAGGAUGACUUAUUUAGUAAUAAAAACAUUGAAAUUACAAGUACCUACUUGCUGAGCUGCAGUCAACAAUAUAUGCUGAACUGUAUUACCUAUAAAAUCAGUUCAAGUUUGUUGCAGUAUCCCUUUCA